rnacentral:rRNA from 1 species
CCUACGGGUGGCUGCAGUGGGGAAUAUUGGACAAUGGGCGAAAGCCUGAUCCAGCCAUGCCGCGUGUGUGAAGAAGACCUUCGGGUUGUAAAGCACUUUCAGUGGGGAAGAAAGCCUUGGGGCUAAUACCCUCGAGGAAGGACAUCACCCACAGAAGAAGCACCGGCUAACUCCGUGCCAGCAGCCGCGGUAAUACGGAGGGUGCGAGCGUUAAUCGGAAUUACUGGGCGUAAAGCGCGCGUAGGCGGUCUGAUAAGCCGGUUGUGAAAGCCCCGGGCUCAACCUGGGAACGGCAUCCGGAACUGUCAGGCUAGAGUGCAGGAGAGGAAGGUAGAAUUCCCGGUGUAGCGGUGAAAUGCGUAGAGAUCGGGAGGAAUACCAGUGGCGAAGGCGGCCUUCUGGACUGACACUGACGCUGAGGUGCGAAAGCGUGGGUAGCAAACAGGAUUAGAUACCCCAGUAGUC